UGUCUGAAUUUUUUUACUCUUCCUACAUUUCAUUUCAAUAUAACAUUUACAUUACAGAGUUAUUCAUUAUGGUAAUUCCAUGAAUUUAUCCUUAAUGUUGGCUCCUUAAAGCUACUGGGAUAUUUGAUUGAUCUUUUCCAUAUCCCGUCCAUCUUCAUGCUCUCUGCUCUCCCCUUUCUUAUUUUCACAGUACGGACUUUGACUCAGCCUGUCUCCUGGAUAGCAUGGGUAGUUACAGGCACUCAGUCAACAUCGUUGUGAAAGACUGAACUGAAGUUCUGUGAUCUGGGUGUCAUACAUAAACAGGAUCCUUUCUGGAACAGUUGAGCUCUCUUCUGACAUAAAGAUUGGAGAACAAGAACCUAAACAGCCAGACAAAGAAACAUUUAGGCAAGAUGUCUGAGAAGACAGAUUCCAGAAAGUUCAUGAGGGAGCAGGGAAUAGGCGGGCAUGGGAAAGAUUGACUGGAUUUGAAGUAGGAAGAGACCGCAUGGAAGGAUGAUUUUGGCUCUCUAAGCUAAAUAUGUUGACCAUGUCAUUUUUUCUAGAGUCUGUGGGCAAACAAUCAUGUUGCAUGUGGUGAGUAAAUCUACCUUCUAGUGCUUGGUUCUCUCACUUACAAACAGUGUGACAACAUUUAAUCAGUCUUUAUUGUUUGAUUGGGUCACAUGCCAAAGCCUCAGCAAUGAGUCAGAUGCAUGGCAAGCAUUGCUCUCCAGCAGUCAGUCCUAGUAGAGUUCCUUUCUGAGCUUACAAUGGGUUGGGCAUUUUGGUUCUAAGAGGACAUUGCCAUGUCUGUUUUUACAUUCUAGCUAUAGUAAGUUUCUUCUGUGCUGCUUCUCUUGAUGCCUUUUACAGGAGGUGAGUCAGUCAACCUCAUACUAAGCUACUCUGAUACAGAUAAUUUUAUACACUCUCGUGUUUUGUGGGUAUAAAUUCUAUGCAGCAGCACAUCUAGUUGCAGCACUAAUUAAGCAUGGCUCACUCAGCAUUUGAAGUGACAGAGGAAAGAGAAUUUGAUUACUCCAAGGGCACCAGGACCUUUCAACCAAUAAUAAUUUACUGUCUCUACUAAGUAAAUUUUAGAUGUUCACUGUAGAGGGGACACCAUAUUUUAUAUACAAGUAGUGGAGUCAAUUCCUAAUAGAUCAUGUGAUCACAGAGUCAAGUAUCUGAUACAAAAUAGAGGGAGGCUAAAGUUUCCCAUUCCUGACAAGGUCACAGUUUUUUCCCCCUCCUUUCAGAAUAUGAGACAGGGCACAUGGGAGGUAGCUGUACUCAAUGAGGUUAUAAGGGGAUGGGUGGAAUUGAAACAGAAAAUUACUGGCUACAGGAAAAGGAGCUGAAGACUAAGGUUGAUAUACUCAGUAUUGGACAGUUAAGGCUAGACUAUGCAUGGAUGCUUGUGUUUUUAUGUGUACAUACUUGUGGGUAGGAGUACAUGUGCUUACAUGGUGCUUUUAUAUUUAUGGGUAUGAGUGUGCAUGUGUUUCCUGCAGGUAUGAGUAUGCAUAUAUAAAAAGCAUGUGUGCACACAUAUAUGUUUUGUAUUUAUAUUUUACCUUGUGUCACUUAAUUCUCUGACUUUACUUCUGAGCUAUUAUCUAUCACCUGUUUAAUACCAUUUAUAUGUCUGUCUAUCUAUCUAUCUAUCUAUCUAUCUAUCUAUCUAUCUAUCAUCAGUCUAAAUUUAUUCAAUAGUUACAUUUUAUUGAAUAUCCUAUAUGUCAGGGACCUAGUAAAUAAAUUUGAUCUAUGUAACAGUCCACUGUGAUUGCUUUUAUUACCUCAGAUUAAUUUGAGGAACCAAGAUUUAGGAAGCUGAAUAAUCUGCUUAAGGUCAGAUAGCUGUGAGAGGCUCAUGAAGAGAUGUACAUGAAGUUGACAUAGCUUUCUGUACUGAGUCUAUGUUUCUAUACAUUUAUAUAAUUUGCCUUAAGAACCAUUGUGCACUCUUUCCAACAUUUUUUAAAAGAUCAAAUCCAUGACUCCAGUCUCACUCUCAUUCGGUGGAUUGUACAGAUACUACCCAGACUACAGUUGGGCCACUCUUCCUUUUCCAGUGUAGCUCCCAGAUACAAGGUGAGUGGCCAUUUCUGCACAGUACUCACUGUCAAAUUCCUUGACGUAGUAAAUGAUUAAGAUUCACAAAACUGUCCCCAAUAUAGGAAGCUUCCUCAAUCUCUUGACUUUAUCUUUCUUCUGUUUAUAGUUCCUAAAUAGUAGCUUCGAUCACAUACUCUGCCCAUUGUUCUUUCACAUCCCAGGUGGAAGUCCUGUCUCCUAGAUCAUGAUUUAGCUCUGAUGGGGCUAAGCAGCAUGAAUGCCUUGACAGAUAUGUGAUUGUAUAUGCCUUACCAUAACUUUUUAUUAUGUGCUUCUCCUCUAUGGAGAUGAAUUACCAAGCAUCUUAGAGUCAGAUAUCAUACCUUCUGAGUUGAGGAACACAUCUAUACCAUGUGUCCUAAUGUAUCUAAGUGGUACAAGAAGAGGGACCAAUAGCUUAUCACUCACCAUGUCUUUCAGCUCUCACUGGAGUAGCUGACCUAUAUUUUCUACUGUGUGCCCUUACAAGUAUUCCUGGUUUCUCUAUUAGACAUAUACUUCAUUUUAUGCUUUGAUCAUCUGUGAAAAUGUAGGAUCCCAGAAAGAAGGAACAUUUAUUAUUUUCACACCCCAGAAAGAAGUGAGACUAUAAGAAAAUGCCAGGUAGGAGAGAAAAGAGCUGUGAGAAACAGACAACAUUAAGGAGUGUGGUGUGCAGAUGCCUAAAAAUACAUUGCCCGUGUCUCCAAAUUUCCUGCUGUAUAGCCCUCUCCUGUGCCUAGAAAGUAUUCAUAUCUAUGCCUUUCCUUUCAUCCCCCUGAGCCAAGGCUACAGGAACAAACCCAGUGACAGUAAAUCAACAGAGCUGAGAGAUCAGCCAGUCAGUCAAUCUUGAGAGCAUUCUUGGAUUUGUGGAUGCCUUGAGAAGGAUGCUUAGAGAAUCUGAGGAUAGGGUAGUUAUUAAAAGAGAUUAAAGGGUAUUAGCUAGUGCCUCAGCAAGUUAUAAUUAAAAAAGAAGCUGAAAAGAAGCAGGAGACUAAUUUUUCCAGUCACUGAAAUUUCAAGGAGGAAUGAGCUGGCCUGUGAACCAUUACCAGUUUAUAUUAAUUCUCAUGUAUGGUUCAGACUAACCCAAAUACAUGUCUUUUUCAGUUUGAAAUGCCCUAGUCAAUUUCACCGUACAAUACUAAGAGGAGAGAGCCUGGGAGACCAGGAAGCCAUGAUCACCUUCCAUCUUCAAUGUCAUUAUUCUCCAAAGUAUUCUAAAUCCUACUUUGAAAAUAAAGACUUAUUUUUCAGGCCCACAUGACAUGAAGAAGGGAAUUAUUCUGGUGUCCAUUUGGGGAAUUUGAGUCUAUGAGAAGUGGAAGAGUUGAUUCCCCUGAGAAUAUUUGACAGUGAAUCAUAUUACUAACAAGCUGUCCUGAAGCAUGCAUUACCAUGUUGUAGUCAUGUGUGGAAACCUAAUCCUCUUCAAAAGUCUCUUGUGCUUCACGCAAUGUCCCCAAGAUUCUGCUUGUGACUUAAGACCUCCCUGUUUACAUGUGAACAGUCUAGGUAGUGCCAUAUUUAAAUGUGCCUUUUCUUUAUCUUGCAGUAAGACCCAGGUUUUUUAGAACAUACUGUGGAGGAAGAAGCCCAAGAUAUCAAUCAGACUGACAGUUUUGUAUGAAAUAGAUGUGACAAGUUGGCCACUGUCAAUGUUGAGCAGAAGUUUAAACUUUGAUUACGAUUACAUGAAGUUUUAUUACAUUGAAAAACUGGAAAAUACUUUGUACAAAGCAAAGCUUUUGGUGUCUCCCAGAAGGAAAGAAAAGAAUUUGUUUGCUUUGUUAGUUUUUGUGUAUGUGUGUGCUGGUGUGUAUGUAGGUCCACAUGUGUGUUUGUGAGUACACAUGAAUGCAUGUGCAUGCUGAGGCUGAAGGACACCCUCGCUGCUAUCCCCUCAGGUUCUAAUCAUCUUGUUUAUUGAGGCAGGAUCUUUCCUUUUUCUGGAGCUGCAGAGUAGGAUAACAGUCUGGCAAGAGAGCUUUAGGGGUCUGCUCUCUCUGCUUUUCCAGCUUUAGAUUUUAUGUGGGUUCUCGGGUUCUAUCUUAGAGUCAAGAUAGAACCAGUGACUAUAAAAUAUGCCUUUGCUGACUGAAGUCUAAAAACAAUAUUUUAAGUACAGGUAUCCCAAAGUUUACUUAAAGCAAUCAGGUUGUUCUAAUUUUUUCACAAUUAAUUCAUUCAUUUAAGAACUCCAUGAAUAUGGUGCAUUCUCUCAGUAGCUCCAUGUCCUGACAGCAGGAUAGGCAGAAAUGGCAAUUUCAGACAGUGGCAGCUUGAUGGACUAACAGAAAUAGAAAAGGGAAAAUUACAAAAACAAGGCAAACUGUUUUGGAGGGAUGCAACUAUGGUAUACAAUAGAGCAGGGCCCAGUGUUGCUUCUGGCGUCAAGACUCCCUCAAAUAUCAGUGACCUUGUAUUGAAACAUUCACAUUUUCAUAAGGCAUCACAAUGCAAUAGGGCCCAUUUUCCUCAGAAUGGCUCCCUUGCUUGAGGUAAGAGUGAGUGCAGGCAAGGGGAAUUCUGUGUAUGAGGGCUCUCAGCUGAGGUGGGUGACCUAUGCAUAGGAUUGCUUUAAUUCCUCAACAUUGCUAAGCAAUAGGUGUUAAUGUCUUCAGUUUGGAAAAUAGGAAAACAUACCUUAGAAAAUGAAUGGCCAGGUUCACUGCCUUUUUUCCCAUCAUGCCCUCAGUAGGCUGUUAUGAUGACGUUAUUGUUAUGUGCCCAUCACCAUGAUUAUUUCUUCUUGUACUUCUUUUGGGUUAUUAUUCCCCUAGCUCAGAGUCUCCCCUUGUUUUGCAUGUACUGACAGAUUUCUCUGGGGCUGAGGUAGGUCUAACUCAAGCUGCAUCUUUUCACAAGACCAUUUUCACCACAACCAUAUUUACAUAACUCAUGUAGCAUCUGCAUAUUCUUUUUCUUAAGUAAUUUUAUUUAUUUAUUAUUUUAAUGUACAUUAGUCAUUUGCUUACAUGUGUGUCUAUGUAAGGGUGGUGGAUUCCUUGGAACAGGAGUUACAGACAGGAGUUGUGAUCUGUCAUGUGAAUGCUGGGAAUUGAACUCAGUCCCCACGAAGAGUACAGAAUAUACUUGACCACAGAGGAAUCUCUCCAGCCCAUAUUUGUAAUGGUUCUUUACUACACAUACUUGACAUUUAUCAUGUUUUGUUCUGUACACCAUUAUGCCUGCUUUGUUGCCUUAAGUAAAGCUUGUGUCUCACACUUUCACCUUCUCCCUUUUUUUAAAAUUCUCUAUUCCAUAAGAGACACAGUUCAGAAUGUACAAAACUAAUAUUUUUCUGUACUUGAGUCAUUGUGACCAUCAGAGUCCCUGCUUGUGAAACAAAAACCUUAAAAACUGUAUUCAGGAUAGGUUUGACAACCUUUCCAACCUUUAGCUAGGCAUAAGGACCUCAUAUUUUCAUCUCUAAGUCCCCAGUGCUAGUAAAUAUGUUGAACAUGGAAGAUAUCUGUUGCCGUUGUUCCUGAACUCCAGCAGAACUAAUACAAAGCAUUUUACCCACAUUAUAGAUUGAGGCUGUGCUCCCUUUUCUCUGUCCACUUGUUCUCUGUAAGAGUAGUUCACCAGCUUAAUGUUUACCCAUGUUCCACACUCUCUCCCCAAAUCGAAUGUCUGUGCUCUUACCUGCAUCUUGUGCUAACCCCCAAAGCCACUGUCCGUUGCUAGCUCUGACCCUUUACUCCCUUCCGUUCUCUGCUGGUAAGGUCAGUUUGUCAAACCAAAGCUCAUUAAGGGAAAAGGCAGAGAGGUGACUCAGCACCCUGACCCCAGAUAUUGUAUCUGCAAAAGCCCUUUUGCCAUUUAUAUUUCAACUUGAAUAGGUGUGUGACUCAGUCGUGGAAGGAUUUGUAGCUGACACUCAAUAGAAGCUGCUUUCAAAUUUUGACAAAUCCCAUCUUGAGCCAAGAAGAGAAACAGAUAUUGAUCCUAAGUGUACCUAAUUCAUCUCUGCACUUGUAAUCCCAAAAGAAAAUGCUUCUAUGACCAGAGGGCAGUCAAUAUUUUUUCCAUCUUGUAAAAUAAAUAGCAGUUAUUUUGGUGUGUCUUCAUGCAUCCCAGGCACCAGAAGUAAACAAAGAGUUGAUUCUUCCUCUUUCUACAGUGGAGUUUUAAUAACUUCAGAGCCUCUUGUUUGGGUUAAUUAAAAUCACAUCAAAUAAUUGGGAUUGAUGAGUAACUAGGGGCAAUUGUAUCAUUUGGCUACAUUAAUAGGGGAGCCUCAAUCCUCAGGCUAGGAGUGGUAUGUCUGCAGAGACUCAGCUGGAGACAUACAAUAAAUUGCAAGAGAAUACAUUUCUGAGACUCUCACUUUGGCAGUAUUACAGUUUUAGCCAUACCAGGGAGGUGUUCAGACCAGCCAGGGGUCUACUUACAAACACGGUUUAUUUAUUGUCCUUCCUCUCCUUUACCUGUGAGACUGGAGUUAGAGAUGGGAGAACCUCCAGGCGGUCAACAGGUCAGGCCAGACGGAGAACUGCUCUGUUUCCACAAUCAUUCUGUCUAUUCUCAACCCAGAUGGAAGGUCACAAGUUGUUGGAAAUACUGAGAAACUGAUUUGUGUCUAUAUUGAUCCAAACCUCACAUCAUUUCCCCAGCACCCCAGGUCACUUCCAACCAACGAGCACAAAAUUUCUUUGAAAUGAGGCACGUCAAAUGCUGAACUUACAUGUGGACAUACCAUCUGCUCAAUUCCAGGUUUUUCUAUCUGUUAAUAAUUGUUUUGGUUAUUAUAUCUGACUGGUUCACUGAGACAAAUCUUGCUUCCUUGCUUCUUGAAGAUUAAGACAAUAUCAGAGAAAAAAAUUUAGAUUAGUUAAUAUUUUGAUUGGGUAUUUUUUUAGGUUACAAGACAUUUUGCUUUGAAUUUCUAGACUUCCACACAUUUUCUUUCAGUGAACAAUAAAAGUUCUAUUUGAAUGGCAUAUGAGCCCUAUGUAGAUAAACAAUUUUGGUUUUCUCUCCGUGUGUCAAGUCUCUUCUGUGUUGGGCAAACACAUCAUGACACGAUGCUGAAGUGUUUUAGAGAUGUGCACAUUCCCAUUUCUCCUUUGUUCCUCCAAGGAAACCAAAUAAUCCCACUUGUAGUAUCCUAAAUGGUUUUUCAAAGCUUGUCUUUCAGAGACACACAGAUUAUGUAUAUAGUUCUGAUGAGGGGUGAGAAGCCCUUAUAAUUGUCUGUAGCCUUGGCCUAAAGUAACUUUGUGUCCUUUUCUAAGUCAUUUAGGAUUUCAGGGUUUGAGGGCCCUCAUUGUUAAACAGAAGGGGGUAGGAUUAAAUGGCCUCCAGACCCCACUGAGGUUGUAAUAUUCUCUCAGUCUCUAUCUCAAAGGCAUGUAAAUAAGCCAUUUGGGGGAUUUGCAUUGUUUUCUUUAUAACUGUAAUGCAGAAAUUGAGAUAUUGGGUUUAUCUCAGCAUGGUUAAAAGUCGAGAAAUAUCAAGCUUAUGUUGAGAAUCUCCUUAGUGAAUCAAAGCAUUUACCAAGGCUCUUCUUCAACACUUUUCAUCUUCUAAGGUCUCAGGGAUAAAAAUUUAGUGUACAUUAGCAAAGCUUAUACUCUUACAAUGUCAUUGUCUGUGGCAUUUAUUCUCAUAUCACAGGUGACAUGCUGAUAUGUACAUGCAUUAUGCAUGUAUAUUGAUGAUCUCAAGUUUUCCCAUAUAUUAAAAAUAGCAACAAUAAAAGGAACAGAAAAGAAAUUAAUGAUAGUAUCCUCUGCUCUCUUUGAAAACAGAUGAGAUUACAAAGCUCCAGUAAAGAGAAGUUGCCUAAAGCCACCUAAGUAAUUAAAAGGAAGCAAAACCUUGAAAAUGGAGGAGUAUAGCAGCUAUUAUUUGGACCUUUUGUUUGUUUCUUUCCUCUGACUGCUCCAUAGGAUGUAGAUAUUGUAGGCAUGAACAUCUGAUAUUGAGACUUACUGACUUCUCUUCAGCCAGACUUUGUUUACAUCACGAUUGAGUCUGCUUUUAAUCAAGCCAGCAAUAUGUCAAUGCCCAAUCCAAUGGAAAUUGGUGGUUUUCAUCUUGACCCAUAGGAUUGGGAAUGUUGUUUAAACAAAGGAAAUGGAUAAAAUGACAGAGCAGUGGUGGCCUCCUCAGCGUAACACACUUUGUAUUGUUUGACUUCUUUUGAUCCAUCUAACGCUCAUACAUCUCAACUGUACUGUUGUGUGGGUAUUUCACUCAUUUUCACUCACAGGGUGAAAAACAAAAAUGCUGAUUAGAAGAAAAGUAUGUUCAUGACCUUGAAGUGGGCAGAUAGUUGUUAAACACGAAUUUGAAGAAUACAAUUUCAUAAGGAUGAAGUCUCGAGGAUCAUUAAAGGGAUGCUACUUCUAUGCCUCUCUCCAUGAGCCUGCAGCUGGAUGUUUCAGCUAAGCUCUCUGCCUGUCAAUCCCCUGAGAUCUACUCCCUGCCUCACCCCCAUGCUCAUGUUACAGGAACGGGUGGAAGGAUAUCUAGCUGAAUUGAAAUUGACAAAACUGGGUAACUCAGACAGGGCAGCCUCCGGAGAGGCCUUUAACCACAAAAGAGACACCAGCCUCUGGGGUGAUAAUCAAAGAUGAGUGAAAGACCGUGUUACCCAAGUGUCAGAAGAAACACAAAUCUGUAAAAUAUAACUAGCAAGACCAUGCAGAGAGGAAAUGAUACUGUGAAUAUUUACAGCAGACGACUUCACUUCUGAAUUGGAGACAGAGGUGACAAAAGGGGAGAUAGAGUGUAAGGACAUCUUGAUGAGGACUGUGUUAGGACUGAGAGGAAGGAUAAAACAAUUCAUUACAGAUAAGAAGGACAAUAUAAGCAAAGACAAGAUCUUAGAAGAGCUGUGGUUAUUAUGGGAGCAGAAAAUGAGCGAGUCUGAUAAGAGUAAAGAGGGUGACUGCAAUUAAGGUGAAGAACAUGCAUUUCUGUUACAUGGUGCAUAGGUUAGAGGGGUUCAUUAGUAAUGAUUGCUCUGCUCUGGGAUGAGCAAGUAUAUACUACAGUUUUAGCAACUUUGUAACUGCUGGAGUUGAGACCUAUGGGGCUCUCCAAUCAAGAAGGCAAAGCAGUUACUGAACACUAAGUUUUUGGCUUCCUGGCAAAUUUGAUAGAGAAUAGUGGGGUUCUAAGCCACUAACAUGUGUUUCCUAAGUGUCUUUCAGUAACUGCAUUAAACCUCAGGUGUGUUUCAUUAACGACUUUAAAUUCAUUUCAGUGGAUGUCAUCCAGGCUCAUACAUGUUUGCAUAUAAGCAUAUAUACCUUUUAAGUAUUUGCAAAACUCAACACAUUUUUAAAAACACUGAAACUUUCUAAUUAUGCAUGCACCUUGAAAACACACACACACAUACACACACACACAAUGUUUAUGGAAGUAUCUGCAGAGGUUAAAAGAAGACAUCAGUUUUUUAGAAGUGGAGUUAAAGAUGGUUUGAGCUGCCACAAAGAUGCUGGAGACUUAACUCAAUUUUCUAAUGGACCAGGCAGUGUUCUUAGCCGCUGACCCUUCCUCUGCAAUCUCUUCUGGGACACUAUCAAUAUAGCAUAGUUUUAUGUUCCCUUCUUUGGAAGCUUUGGGAAUUUUCCACCUAAGAAAUCCUCUUACUAAGUAAACAUCUCUGUGUGUCUUCUCUUCCCAUUAGAGAAUAUUAUGUAGACAGAGCUCAGACCUAGCAGUUGGAAAACUGACCUCCAUCCCUUGGAGCUGACUAAGAAGAUGAACCCAGGUGGAAAUCUACAUUCGUUGCUACCACCAGGCCUUGAGGAUACAUUGGAAGAAUUGAUGAAAGUAUUUAAGACCGAGGGGAAGGAAUAUUGUAAAAUGCUGUACUCUGCAUGUGAAUGGCUACGAAAUACAGGAACACAUAGUAUCACAGCAACAGUGGUUACCCAUGGAAGAAAUCCAGAUGUUCAAGAGUUAAAAACUUCUGUAUGGGUGAGGGGCUCCUGAAGUUUCACCACUGCCUGAGGAGGAAGGGAAGGUUCUUUUCGUGGAUGGUAGCCCAAUAGAUGGCCUUGUACACAUGAACAUAUGGCCAAUGUAAAUAGGACUAGGUGUGUCAUAAACAAAGACAUAAAGAUGUGAAGGAUAUGGAAGACAUGUUGGAGGAGAAGUAAUGGGGAUGGACAUUGCCAAGAUACAUUGUGUGCAUGUACAAAAUUUUCAAAAAAUUAUAAUUGUUUUUGUCAGAAAGUGAUUCCAUCUCUGGAGAAUAGUAGACAUCGAGGUAGGAUCUAAGGAGAGGAAUGACACAUAGGGGAUAUUGUCUAAUCCAUUGACUGUUCAACCAUGUUCUAAUAAUCACAUGUAUUCCCAUGUCUUGGUUACAAGAUAGAAGUAUUUGGAGAGUAGGGCCAGUAUGAUUCCCCAAAUGCCAUACAUAUGAAAUAUCAGUCUAUAGUUAAACUAUAACAAUGAUAAAAUUUACAACAUUAUAAAUUUUGCAAUAGUAAAAUACUAUGAGUAUUUUCUCAACAGGAAAAUUGAAAUGAUAAUCAUUCUCUUAAGGAGUGACAUGUCAGCUCUGCUUCACACUAUAUGACUGGCAUAAUUUCUAUGUCUUUUGGCAAGUGUUGCUCUUCUUGCUCAGAUGGGAAGAUGUCCUGGGACUUGGAAGCUCAGGAACUACAGAGCUCUGAAAUUGGACACUGUCCCAGUGGAAGAGUAUCCUGAGACACAGGAGAUUGGGAACCACAUAGCUCUGAGUCAGAACCAUGUACCAACGGAAGGGCUUCCUCAGACAUGAGGACCCAGGAACCACAUAGCUCUGAGAGGAAUCCACCUCAACAAAGCGGUUGCAGCUCCCAGAGGAGUAUAUCUACAGGUGAACCAAGGAGCAUGGGCGCCUCAGCACUGUCCUCUUCACUUUGUCCCACCCCUUGUUUUCUGCAUUGCUUCUUGGCUUCCUCAGAUGAGAGAGUCACACCAGGCAGGAAAUCUCAUGAAAUAGAUUUAUUUAAGGGUUUAGGGAAAGGAGGGACUAAUCAAGGGAUGGAUGCCCCUUGCUCCUGGAAGGGAGAAAACAGGAAGGAAUUGGACAAAGGGCAGAGUUUAUACAGGUUUUCUUGAGGGGCAGUGCUUUCUAUGGCAGAGUUUUCUGUGGUGAGGGUUGGUGGUAUUUCUAUGUGCUGAGCUUGGGGGAACUCUGGUAUUAGUUGGUUUUCCUAUUUAGAGAUUGGUGGGUUUUCUUGCUCAGGAAUUGGUGGAUUUCUGUGGGAAGAUCAGGAAUUGGUGGGCUUUCCUACUCAGGGAUUGGGGACUUUCAUUCAGAUUUUUUAUAUAAAAUUAGCAUAAUCUGGGAAGGGUUCUGUUGAGGGGCUGGAGAUGACCUUUGUGAAAAUUAUAGAGGCUGGCAAUGCCAUUACAGUUACAGAGGUCUAGGAGAGGGGCCUGGCUCCUGAAGCUCCCUCAGAGGGGGACCUGGUCCCUUUCUUGUCCUUAGGGUUUAAAAAUUUACAAAGUACACAAAGUUUAGAAAGAGAGUCCAUGGCUGGAAAGGCUUUCCCUGUCACUUUAGUGGCAUUAAUAGCAAAUAAUAAGGGUGGGAUGUAUUAUCAUGGGAUACCAUUGUGCUAAAACCAUGUCUAGAGUAGUUUAGCUAUAACUACAACAUUGUGCUUUAAAUAUGACCUAUGCAUAAUAAAAGGAACUGUGGACAGUUAUUUUACACAAAUUUUGUGUAAAAAAAAUAAAUUUUGAUGUUGGAAAUGUAUGGUUUUGCUGCUAAACCAGAGUGUAUGUACUAUUUGAUGUCAUUAAUAUUAUCAGCAUAAUCAACAUCUACAUCAAUAUCAUCUCCUUCAUCAGAGUCAUCAGUCAGCAUUGUCAGCAUCAACAACACCUCCAAUAGCAUUGACAUUAUUAGCAUCACCAUUACAAUAUCAUCAAUAUCACCAUCAGUAGCAUUGGCAUCCUCAUCAUCAACAUUAUCUGUAAGUAUCAUCACCGUGGUUACAAUUAGUAUCAGCAGCAUCACCCACCUUCAGCAAUAUCCACCACUGUUAUUUAUCCUUCCUCUAUUUUCAUUGUUUCACAUUAUCCUCUCACCAUUACUCAUGCUAAAGAGUUACUUGUUACAACCUUCCAUGCAGAUAUAGUUUUGCCAUUUUAUACAGAUACCUAAAACCAUUCUUUCAUUCCCUGUUUCCCCAAAUAGUUUCAAAAAAAGGUUUGUGUGUCCUAUAACUUGGUUUGCAUAAUUUUGUGAUCCCCUCUGUGUGUGUGUGUUUGUGUGCAUCUCUCUUUCUCUCCUUCUCUCUCUCUCUCCUUCUCUCUC